rnacentral:lncRNA from 1 species
CCACUGAUUUGUCCUUUAAGUAUUAUUAUUUGUAAUAAUGUCCCUCUCAGAAUAAAUUUUUAUUAUAUUCAUACCAAUUAAUUGAUUAUGACAUCAUGCCACGUGUAUCGUUGACACCUUUUUAAUCACCAUAAGUUAAACAAACAACUGGCACAUGUACUGUUGACACCUAUCUAAUCACCCAAGUCAGGACAAAACUACCUGUUA